GGAACGUAUUGAUUAAUUUAGAAUGGAUCAUAAAGAAAUCAGGCCAGGAUAUAUAUCGCUGCUGAAUUGUUGAUAAAUUGCUGGGAAAAAAAAAGGACAUUAAAUGAAAUGAUAAAAUUUCGUUAACUUUUAGCUACCAUUAAAAUAAAGAGAAACUGUGAGCGGGAAGUAGUACAUAUUUCACGCGGGCAAAUUAAGCCCAAAAAUCUAACACAGGUUAGACAAAGAGAGAGAAUAUUAUGUUUUAUGAUCUGAAGGCUGAAUAAAGAAAUUGAGUAACUAUACCACAGGUUCUUAACAUUGGUCAGGUUAACCAGUGUACGUAAAUAUCAUCCCACAGAUACACAAUCAGAGUAAAGGUCCAACUUUCAGUAGAGUGGAGGGAAAGUGGGACAGAAAGGAGGUGAUCUGGAAGGUUCCUUAGAGGAAGACAAGCUAUUCAAGCACUCCAACGUGGGCUGUAACAAAGAACCAGGAAUACACACCAGGUUCAGCACAUAUAUUUCACACAUAUAUUUUCAAUGGUGAGAUGGGUAAGAGGACGAUGGCGCGGACCAGGUGGAAUACAUAGAGCAGGAGGCAUACAUGUCUAACAACGUCCACUUUUGAGUGAUAUACAAGAUAGGGAACACGAAGUACAUUCGGACGAUUCAACUCAACCACCAAAUGUUGGUGGUGAUGAGACAGUGGAAGCUAUAGCAAAUGAGGCUGAAAGGGUUGUGAGCACUGAACAUAAUGAAGCUUUGCCAACUCGAAAACGUGGUCGGGGACCAGCAAAAGACACGCUUUUUGAACGCAUUCGGAAAUUUGGGAAAAUACCUCUGAAUAUUAAGGAUGGACAAAGAGGUCCAUGUUGUGAGAAUUACAACAUAUUUUCUGGACGAGUGACAACGAUUGUUAGACUUCAUGCAAACAUGCGCUAUGCAAGCUGGAAACAAGUAUCUAAAGAGGAGAAAGAGGAGCUAAUUGACCGUGUUCGAGUAUACAAGUUUUAUUUAUCUGUUUUGUCAGAUCCUUUUUUAGUAAAACUAUUAUUGCUGCAUGAUAUUUCACUAAUGCAUUGUUUCAUAGGCUGACUUUAUAUUAGAUUGAACACAAAGUUCCCAUCGUGAGUGUGUGACAAAUGCUCUCCAUCGAAAAUACAAUGCAUUCCACUACCUUCUACGCAAGCAAUACUUGGGCUAUUCAUCACAUGAAGCCGCACUUUCUGGCGGGACAACCUGGGUGGAGAAGCCCGUUUGGGAUUACUUAUGUGGAUUGUGGUCGGGUGAACCAUUUAUGAAAAUGUCACAGAGAAAUAGCACAAAUAGGAAAAAACAGCGAAUCAACCAUACAAGUGGCCGAAAGCCUUUCGUUAGGGUUAUGGAGGAAACUAAUGAACAAGCCCCGAACUUGGUAGCUUUUUACAAAGAAGUGCAUUGGUCAAAAAAGAAAGGUGGAUUUAUCACCAACACUGCAGAACAAAAUUAUAAUCUGAUGCUUGAGCGGAUGAAUGAGACUGAGUUGGAUGGGAACAUGGAUGAAACAGCUAAUGCAGUGUUCAAGGAGGUUUUAGGAUAUCGACCAGGUUAUGCAACGGGUCUAGGCCACUCUGUUAUACCUGAACCAUCUCCUUCAUUGCUGAACAAUAGGAAUUAUCAACGCAUUGUUGAGGAGAACAA